ensembl:lncRNA
GGGUAUUUUAACAUCUACUUUAGUGCAGCAUCUGGCUUUAAUAUACUUUUAUUGCAAAAGCAAUCAUUACAGACACUCUUGUGUGUGUGUGUGUGCUCAUUUUAUGGAUUUAAUUUGUUAAACUAUUUUACACUGAUUUAUUUAUUAACUUGUAUUUAACAUAGAAUAUCACUUUUAAGAGACUGAAGCACAUGCUUCAGGUUAAACAACUGAAAUGCAUUUCUCGUUACUGACCCGACAACUCAGACCGUUUUAUCCGAACAGGACUGUUUUAAUAAGAAAGCAUUUGUUUUAGAAAAGCUCUACUUUAUAAUUGAUAAAAGAGGAAAUCAAGGACGAAGCUUCAUCUUCAACAAAGGGAAGAAAUUUCACAUAGUGGACAGUGAGGGUGGUGGAGUUCUGUUAUAUAAUCACAUUUUAUUGGUUAUACAUUUCAUUGCAAAUAUAGCCCUGUUUAACAGUAUAGAGAAGUGCAACAUACACAAUAUUCAAGAGUCUGAGGUUUGUCAUUCAGAGCAACAUUACUGUAAAUAUAUUCAUAAUUCACUGCCACAGAAGGAGGCGUUUGUGCCUGUCUCAUGCAAAAAAAAGCAGUUAAAAAAACCCUGAAACAUAUACGAGAGGCAGUUUGCAGCCACAUCAAAAUAUUACAAUAUGCGACAUGAUUGAUUUUUAAAAAGUAGCCUUUCCUCUCUCAUCCUAUAAAAAAACAUUUGCUCAGUCUGUCGUCUCGGCAAAAGAGCAUAAAAUGUAUCCAAGAGAUCAUAAUUAGGAUAUUUAAAGUGAAAAACACUUUCAUUGUGCACAAAAAGAUACGGAGAAACCAAGUCUCACAGCAAAGUAAAGAACGAACGUUGCAAGAUUUGUGCUUGUGAUAUCAAUGCAUUCCUCUCACAAUAUAAACUGAAUCUGGACCAACAGACCAACUCCACAUGUAUUAAACAACAUAGGACUUGUUUGUCCAGUGUAGGAUGUCACUUUAUAAGAAGGGAUAUGAAACAUGCCCUUAAAGAGAGAAAGCAGACAGACCCCCGCUUCCUUCAUUUGGAUGCCCGCAGCAGGGACGUUCUCCUCGCCUGCUGCCGCACCGUGUGAUUCAACCCAUACUAAGAGGGACUGCAAAGUGCUUUUGAUGCAGAGUGCACAGAACCCAUGAUUUUCUGCAGUUUUAACAACGUCCUUGUGCGCUACACUCCCGCCGAGGACUUCUCUGCCGUGUUGUUCAGGACUUCAUCAAUUCUGUCGUCUUCUAUGACAACUGAAAGAGAAAUCACAAGAGGCACUGGGGUCAAACGUGAUGCACUUGAAGAAAUGACAAGACUUUAGGACAAGAAUUUGACAAUCAGGCUUUGCAGACUGCAAAAAAAUUUAAAAUAAAUGUAAAAAAAAAAAA